AUGCGUGAUCUGGUCGGCGUCGACCUGGACGGCUUCCCCCUCGACCACGAGUUCUCGGACGACUACGGGCUAGAGGAAGAGGACGACUGCCACAUUGACGUGGAGCCUUUGUUCGAGGACGAGCUCACCAACCAAGCCGCCGGUCCUAAGCCCAAGCGCAAGAGCAAGCGUACGAAGGCGUACACGGCGGCCGAAGACAAGUUUCUUUGCGAGUGUUGGCGAGACAUUGGACAAGACCCGAAGACGGGCGCCGAGCAAAAGCAUUCGAACUUUUGGACUCGUGUGCACCGAGAGUUCCAUGAGUGCAAGAAGUUUCCACCUUACCAAUUUGUGAGCACGCGCGGGUGGGUCUCCAUUUCCAAGCGGUGGAGGGUGAUCCAACAAGAGUGCAACAAGUUUUGCGCCACCCUUGAGAGCUUCAAGGCCCGCCCCGUGAGCGGCAUCCGCAUGCAAGACAUGGUAUGA
rnacentral:rRNA from 1 species